AUUGAACGCUGGCGGCAUGCCUUACACAUGCAAGUCGAACGGUAACAGGUCUUCGGAUGCUGACGAGUGGCGAACGGGUGAGUAAUACAUCGGAACGUGCCUAGUAGUGGGGGAUAACUACUCGAAAGAGUGGCUAAUACCGCAUGAGAUCUACGGAUGAAAGCAGGGGAUCGCAAGACCUUGUGCUACUAGAGCGGCCGAUGGCAGAUUAGGUAGUGGGUGGGAUAAAAGCUUACCAAGCCGACGAACUGUAGCUGGGCUGAGAGGACGAUCAGCCAAACUGGGACUGAGAAACGGCCCAGACUCCUACGGGAGGCAGCAGUGGGGAAUUUUGAACAAUGGUCGCAAGCCUGAUCCAGCAAUGCCGCGUGCAGGAUGAAGGCCUUCGGGUUGUAAACUGCUUUUGUACGGAACGAAAAGCCCCGGGUUAAUACCCUGGAGUCAUGACGGUACCGUAAGAAUAAGCACCGGCUAACUACGUGCCAGCCGCCGCAGUAA
rnacentral:rRNA from 1 species